GACCCCAUCGUCUAAAUGGUUAGGAUACCACCCUUUCAAGGUGAAGAUUACGGGUUCAAAUCCCGUUGGGGUCGCCA
rnacentral:tRNA from 1 species